UGAGUUACGGCCGGGCUCCCCUAGCCGUAUUGCACCAACACUUGCAGACUUGUCAUACGAAGCAUUCUUUCUGAAAUAAUAAAUCAGCCAGUCAAGUUUCAUCCUUCAACCAGUGCAGUGCUGAAGUUAAUCGUCCGAACCUCCCCACGGGCCGGGAAGCAGCCAACAUGGCCCGCUUCCCGGGAACCCCGUACAUAACUGGCGCAGUCGGUCGUCUCGGUGGAUUACCGAGACUUAAGACUUCCACCAUAUUCACUCAACACCCGCUUGGUAACCACGUCUAGGGAAAGCAGCAGACGUGCAAAACAACCAGGCUAAUUUCUCCCCAAUGAACCUAACCAGCGUUGGAGAGGUAGUAAUGGAUAUGAAGAAUGAGUUGUAAUUGUAAAAUUCGUAAUCAUUGUGGCGUUAACGAAAAGAACAAAAAAAAAAAAAAAAAGGGUUUUAUACCGUGAUUGAGGAGAGAGCAGACAUAGCUCAACCUCAACCCAAGUGCUUUUGUCCCUUCCAAAAGCCUUAGCCUGCAAAAAUUCUGAUGGAUGCUACUAAGAAACUGUACACCGAAUAUCGCUGUUAGAAUUAAGUUUGGUAGGACAAGUUAGCAAGAAAUCGUUUAAAUCAAACCAGAAAAUUCUCAUAAUUCUUAUGAGCCUGAGCCGCAUCAACCAAAUGCUAGGAAUGUGAUAUCCUUGAUACGUCAGGAAUCCUUCCUGUUGCCAUCCCGGGGCUCCAGACAACUAGAUUUGUGAGGCCCUCGACACGUCAGGACUCCGUCUAGCCUGGAACAGUCAUUGGGAAUGUGAUGUCCUCGAUACGUCAGGCAUCCGCCCUUGGACGAACUCCGCAGCAACUCGAGCACAUCAGUGGAACUCAGAGAAAAAAAAAAACUAAAACAGUUUUUUAAAGUCGAAUCGAGACGAUUCGAGUCUAACGAUGGGGUAGUUACGGCCGGGCUCCCCUAGCCGUAUUGCACCAACACUUGCAGACUUGUCAUACGAAGCAUUCUUUCUGAAAUAAUAAAUCAGCCAGUCAAGUUUCAUCCUUCAA